GACGAACGCUGGCGGCGUGCUUAACACAUGCAAGUCGAACGCUGAAGCUUGGUGCUUGCACUGGGUGGAUGAGUGGCGAACGGGUGAGUAAUGCGUGAGUAACCUGCCCUUGACUCUGGGAUAAGCCUGGGAAACUGGGUCUAAUACUGGAUAUGACAUGCCACUGCAUGGUGGUGUGUGGAAAGGGUUUUACUGGUUUUGGAUGGGCUCACGGCCUAUCAGCUUGUUGGUGGGGUAAUGGCCUACCAAGGCGACGACGGGUAGCCGGCCUGAGAGGGUGACCGGCCACACUGGGACUGAGACACGGCCCAGACUCCUACGGGAGGCAGCAGUGGGGAAUAUUGCACAAUGGGCGGAAGCCUGAUGCAGCGACGCCGCGUGAGGGAUGACGGCCUUCGGGUUGUAAACCUCUUUCAGCACGGAAGAAGCGAGAGUGACGGUACGUGCAGAAGAAGCGCCGGCUAACUACGUG
rnacentral:rRNA from 1 species